GACGAACGCUGGCGGCGUGCUUAACACAUGCAAGUCGAACGGAAAGGCCCUGCUUUGUGGGGGUGCUCUACUUGCGAACGGGUGAGUAACACUUGAGUACCGUAUCCUUGACUUUGGGAUAACUUCAUGAAACUGGGUCUAAUCCCGCAUAGGAUCUCUUGCUGCAGGGUGGGGGUGGGAUGGUUUCGCCGGUUGGGAAUGGACUCGCGUCUUAUCAGCUUGUUGGUGGGGUAGUGUCUUACCAUGGCUUGGACGGGUAGCCGGGCUGAGAGGCUGACAGGCCAAACUGGGACUGAGAUGAGACACAGACUACUCCCGGAGGCAAGAGUGCAGAAUAGUGCACUAUGGGCGGAAGCAUGAUGUAGUAAAGCAGCGUGGGGGAUGACGGGAUUCGGGUUGUAAACCGCUUUCGCCUGUGACGAAGCGUGAGUGACGGUAAUGGGAAAAGAAGCACCGGCUAACUACGUG
rnacentral:rRNA from 1 species